GAAUUGAAGGAUUGCUUUGAUUUCUGCAACGUAAUACAGUAUAUGUAUAUAUUCUCUGGUCAAUGGAAGAGUCAACUCAGAGAAGAGAAAGACUAAAAGCUAUGCGAUUGGAAGCUUCAAAGGAGGAUGCAACUCAUAACAAAGAUCAUUCAGCUGUUAGUCUCGCAAACCCGUUACUUGAAUCCACAAUUAACUCUGAAACUGAGGUGCAGACGACUUCUUGAAGCUUUAGUUAUUACACCAACCCAAUGGCUGCGUAUUCUGACAACAAGCAGACGACUUCUCGAAGCUUUAGUUCUUACACCAACCCAGGCCAGCUCUCAGAUAUCACAGAAUAUUUCAUCCACUCCAAGCUUGCGGACCGACGAAAUGUUUACCUCACCUUCCCUUCAACCCCAUAUAAACCAAUCGCCAAAUCCGCAAAUGCAACAACCACAGGGAUAUUAUGCAAGUUCUAAUCAUGCUUAUUCAUCUAACCCACCACAAAGUUACUAGUUCACAACCUAGCCUUGCUGAAAUAUUGGCUGCAUCUUUUAAUGAAGCUGCAGAGGAUGUACCCGAUGCUGAAUGAUUUUUCUAAGGUUUUGUUUGGAUUUGUAUAUGGAGGAUGACGUGAUGUGCAGACUUUGAAUUACAAAUCAUAGUCUAGGCCCUCUCACCAUGGAUCCUACGUGCAAGCUGGAUAUCCUAAGGCUUGAUCGUUACUCGUUUAGCAUGAAUCACGCACAGAUUAGUGUCCACGCUUCAGCAGCCUCCUGGAGAAGCAGCUACAGCGGAGCUCGGAAAUCGUAGAUCUGUUUUGAAAUCCUGUGAGCGAUUUCUCUCACGAGCCUCUGGAACCGAAGUUUCAUAAGCUCAGUACUCUUCUGAUACUUCUGGUAUCUCUCUAGGCCUGAAUCUUUGUGGCCUUUUUACACCUCGGGUGACGUAGCAGACUUCCAUAAUAGUCAUUUUUCCACAUUAUAUCUGUGUGUACCUACCUGUUGAAUAUAAAGUUUUAGAUGAAUCUUUCUACACGACCAUUUUGUAAUAUUACUGUGAAUACCGAAAAUGUUGGUGUUAAAGCUGUACCAUAUGAGUACCAAGAUUAAAUGUGUAC